rnacentral:rRNA from 1 species
UCGAGCGGUAGCACAGAGAGCUUGCUCUCGGGUGACGAGCGGCGGACGGGUGAGUAAUGUCUGGGAAACUGCCUGAUGGAGGGGGAUAACUACUGGAAACGGUAGCUAAUACCGCAUAAUGUCGCAAGACCAAAGUGGGGGACCUUCGGGCCUCAUGCCAUCAGAUGUGCCCAGAUGGGAUUAGCUAGUAGGUGGGGUAACGGCUCACCUAGGCGACGAUCCCUAGCUGGUCUGAGAGGAUGACCAGCCACACUGGAACUGAGACACGGUCCAGACUCCUACGGGAGGCAGCAGUGGGGAAUAUUGCACAAUGGGCGCAAGCCUGAUGCAGCCAUGCCGCGUGUGUGAAGAAGGCCUUCGGGUUGUAAAGCACUUUCAGCGGGGAGGAAGGCGUUAAGGUUAAUAACCUUGUCGAUUGACGUUACCCGCAGAAGAAGCACCGGCUAACUCCGUGCCAGCAGCCGCGGUAAUACGGAGGGUGCAAGCGUUAAUCGGAAUUACUGGGCGUAAAGCGCACGCAGGCGGUCUGUCAAGUCGGAUGUGAAAUCCCCGGGCUCAACCUGGGAACUGCAUUCGAAACUGGCAGGCUAGAGUCUUGUAGAGGGGGGUAGAAUUCCAGGUGUAGCGGUGAAAUGCGUAGAGAUCUGGAGGAAUACCGGUGGCGAAGGCGGCCCCCUGGACAAAGACUGACGCUCAGGUGCGAAAGCGUGGGGAGCAAACAGGAUUAGAUACCCUGGUAGUCCACGCCGUAAACGAUGUCGAUUUGGAGGUUGUGCCCUUGAGGCGUGGCUUCCGGAGCUAACGCGUUAAAUCGACCGCCUGGGGAGUACGGCCGCAAGGUUAAAACUCAAAUGAAUUGACGGGGGCCCGCACAAGCGGUGGAGCAUGUGGUUUAAUUCGAUGCAACGCGAAGAACCUUACCUGGUCUUGACAUCCACAGAACUUUCCAGAGAUGGAUUGGUGCCUUCGGGAACUGUGAGACAGGUGCUGCAUGGCUGUCGUCAGCUCGUGUUGUGAAAUGUUGGGUUAAGUCCCGCAACGAGCGCAACCCUUAUCCUUUGUUGCCAGCGGUCCGGCCGGGAACUCAAAGGAGACUGCCAGUGAUAAACUGGAGGAAGGUGGGGAUGACGUCAAGUCAUCAUGGCCCUUACGACCAGGGCUACACACGUGCUACAAUGGCAUAUACAAAGAGAAGCGACCUCGCGAGAGCAAGCGGACCUCAUAAAGUAUGUCGUAGUCCGCGAUUGGAGUCUGCAACUCGACUCCAUGAAGUCGGAAUCGCUAGUAAUCGUAGAUCAGAAUGCUACGGUGAAUACGUUCCCGGGCCUUGUACACACCGCCCGUCACACCAUGGGAGUGGGUUGCAAAAGAAGUAGGUAGCUUAACCUUCGGGAGGGCGCU